rnacentral:snRNA from 1 species
GGAUGUAGGGGCGAUCUGGCUGUCAUAUCUUUCACCCCAUUGAUUGACAGGGUGGAUUUGACUGACUUGAGUGGCUACCUGGGUGUUGCUUUCCUCCCUCAUUGUUCCACGUGUGUCCGUCCUGAAGCUAUGUGCUUGGUUGAAGAAGAUGACUUUCUCUGAAUCGAGGAAGAUAGGUCUCUGGUCAAGAGUAUUAGUCAA